AGAGUUUGAUCCUGGCUCAGGAUGAACGCUAGCGGGAGGCUUAACACAUGCAAGUCGAGGGGCAGCACGGACUUAGGUCUGGUGGCGACCGGCGGAUGGGUGCGUAACGCGUAUGCAACUUACCUUUUGCUGGGGAAUAGCUCGAGGAAACUCGGAUUAAUACCCCAUAGCCCAUAAGGACCUCAUGGUUUUAAUGGUAAAGCGAUUUAGCGGCAAGAGAUAGGCAUGCGUCUGAUUAGCUAGAUGGUGGGGUAACGGCUUACCAUGGCUACGAUCAGUAGGGGGUCCGAGAGGAUUAUCCCCCACACUGGUACUGAGACACGGACCAGACUCCUACGGGAGGCAGCAGUGAGGAAUAUUGGGCAAUGGACGCAAGUCUGACCCAGCCAUCCCGCGUGCAGGAAGACUGCCUUAUGGGUUGUAAACUGCUUUUCUGAAAGAAGAAAACUCCCUACGUGUAGGGAUUUGCCGGUAUUUCAGGAAUAAGCAUCGGCUAACUCCGUGCCAGCAGCCGCGGUAAUACGGAGGAUGCAAGCGUUAUCUGGAUUUAUUGGGUUUAAAGGGUGUCUAGGCGGUAGAAUAAGUCAGUGGUGAAAUGCUUCAGCUUAACUGGAGACCGGCCAUUGAAACUGUUUUACUUGAGUGUGCUAGAAGUAAGAGGAAUGUGUAGUGUAGCGGUGAAAUGCAUAGAUAUUACACAGAACGUCGAUAGCGAAGGCAUCUUACUAUAUCAUUACUGACGCUGAAGCACGAAAGCAUGGGGAUCGAACAGGAUUAGAUACCCUGGUAGUCCAUGCCGUAAACGAUGCUCACUAGCUAUUUGUUCAAUUGGGAAUAAGUGGCACAGCGAAAGCGUUAAGUGAGCCACCUGGGGAGUACGCUCGCAAGAGUGAAACUUAAAGGAAUUGACGGGGGCCCGCACAAGCGGUGGAACAUGUGGUUUAAUUCGAUGGUACGCGAGGAACCUUACCUGGGCUUAAAUGUAGUAUGACAGAUUGGGAAACCAGUUCUUCCUUCGGGACAUAUUGCAAGGUGCUGCAUGGUUGUCGUCAGCUCGUGCCGUAAGGUGUAGGGUUAAGUCCCCUAACGAGCGCAACCCCAGCCGUUAGUUGCCAGCGAGUAAUGUCGGGCACUCUAGCGGGACUGCCACUGUAAGGUGUGAGGAAGGCGGGGAUGAGGUCAAAUCAGCACGGCCCUUAUGUCCAGGGCUACACACGUGUUACAAUGGCCACUACAGCGAGCAGCCAACCCGCGAGGGCGAGCGAAUCUUAAACAGUGGUCACAGUUCGGAUUGGAGUCUGCAACUCGACUCCAUGAAGCUGGAAUCGCUAGUAAUCGCGCAUCAGCCAUGGCGCGGUGAAUACGUUCCCGGGCCUUGUACAC
rnacentral:rRNA from 1 species